AGGUUCGAGGUCUGCAGUGCCGUUGGGCGACGGACCUGCGGCGCGGUAGAGAGAUUGGCACUAUGAAGGCGUGAGGAAAUGUGGUACAGUGGUACUGUGGUUUUUGAUCAUCUCCGUUGAUGAACAUUUUGGUUUUCGAACAUGCCUCGGAAGUUGAACAUGUGACAUCGCUUCUGCUGAGUGCAAGGUCCUGAGGCCUAGCUGUCGGCUGUUGAGUCCUGAGCACCCAUGCAACACAGAGGUGGUAUUUGGGCUUAUUUGGUGACUGUAUGCAAUCAAUCUGUGUUCGUGUCAUCUCAGGGGCGCUUUGCCAAUCACCCCUUGCUGUGAGUAAUGGAUAAAAGCUGCAAAGCCAAGAGAAUCAUUUAUAGAACAAUAGAGGUGAAGAAGGAAAUUAUUUCCAAACAUGAUAGUGGUGUCCGUGUAUGUGAUCUGGCAAUGCAGUUUGGUAUGGCCAAAUCAACAGUUUGUACCAUCUUAAAAAAUAAAGAAGCCGUUAAAGGAGCCAAUGUUGAAAGAGGUGUUAAAACACAAGACAAAGAACACAGACAAUUGAAGAAGUGGAAAAAUUGCUUUUCAUAUGGCUAAAUGAAAAACAGUUGGUUGGUGACAGCAUUUCUGAGCAUGACUUGUGAAAAAAGCUUUACAUUUGCAUGCUGACCUCAUCAAAAACACCCGUGGAACAAGUGCUGAGCGUGAUAUUUUCAAGGCAAGUAGAGGGUGGUUUGAAAAGUUUAAGAGGAGAAGUGGCAUACACAGUAUGGUGAUACAUGGUGAAGCUGCCAGUGCCAGUAAAGAAGAUGCUGACCAAUUUGUUUUGGAAUUUAAAGAUUAUGUAGAGGUAGAGGGUUUCCUUCCCCAACAAGUUUUCAAUUGUGGUGAGACAGGCCUCUUUUGGAAGAAAAUGCCAAAUAGGAUCUAUGUAAGAAAGGAGGAGAAAUCAUUGCCAGGACACAAUCCCAUGAAAGGCUAACCCUUUUAUUUUGUGGGAAUGCAAGUGGAGAUUUUAAGUUGAAGCCUUUGCUAGUCUACCAUUCUGAGAACCCCUGGGUAUUUAAGAAAAACAAUGUCAUAAAAAGCAAGUUGCAUGUAAUGUGGAGGGCAAACAGCAAAGCUUGGGUAACCAGGCAAUUUUCUAUUGAGUGGGUUCAUGAAAUGUUCAGGCCAAGUGUAAAAAAAUACCUCUAAGACAAAAAUCUUCCAAUGAAGUGCCUGCUUGUUAUGGAUAAUGCUCCAGUUCACCUUCCAGGCUUGGAGGACGAGUUGAUGGACGAGUUCAGUUUUAUCAAUGUAAACCCUUUGCCCCCCCAACACAACUCUACUCAUCCAGCCCAUGGAGCAGCAGAUCAUAUCUAAUUUUAAGAAGUUUUACACCAAAGCACUGUUCCAAAGGUGCUUUGAGAUGACCUCAGACACAGAGCUAACUUUCAGAGUUAUGGAAGAAUUAUUUCAAUAUCCUACAUUGCUUACAUCUCAUAGACAAAGCAUGGAGGGAUGUGUCUCACAGAACAAUGAAGCCAGCAUGGAAGAAAUUGUGGCUAGAAGCUGUCCCUGAACGUGUAUUUGAGGAUGCUCCUGUUGUUAAGGAUCUUGUGUCUCUGGGAAAGUCCAUGGGCUUGGAAGUGAGUAGUGAUGAUGUAGAGGAAUUAGUGGAGGACCACAAGACUAAACUCACCACAGAAGAACUUCCAAAAAUUCUGAUGGAGCAGCAACAGGUGGCAACUGAGAAAAUGUCUUCAGAGGAGGAGGAGGGAAGAUAAAGUGUUUCUAUUGCACUGAUCAAAGAAAUGUGUGCAAAAUGGAUUGAAGUGCAAAUUUUUGUUGAAAAAUACCACCCUGAUAUAGCUGCUGUAAGUCAUGCCACUAACACUUUCAAUAAUAAUGCUUUGCCUCACUUUAGACAAAUUUUAGAAUGUUGGAAAAGCAAAUGUCAAUUGAAAAAUUUUUAGUGAGGAAAAGAUCCAGUGAGUCUGAACUAUGUGUCCGUGUAAAAAAUCAAGGGAAGGAAUGGCAGGAGAGGAGUCACCUACAGUGAUUCUGGAAGAGGGCUACAGAAUACCUGAACAACAGUCACCUAUUGUGAUUAUUGAAGGGCCCCCCCCCCCAUUCAAACCAUGACUAUCAUCAUUGCAGGGUGUUCCAGCCCGGAUAGGCGUGGCUCAGCAGUUGAGCAUCAACCUAGGAUCCAGGAGAUCAUGGUUCAAUUCCCAGUC